AUGAACGCUAGCUACAGGCUUAACACAUGCAAGUCGAGGGGCAUCAGGGUGUAGCAAUACGCCGCUGGCGACCGGCGCACGGGUGAGUAACACGUAUCCAACCUGCCCUUUACUCGGGGAUAGCCUUUCGAAAGAAAGAUUAAUACCCGAUGGUAUAACAUGACCUCCUGGUUUUGUUAUUAAAGAAUUUCGGUAGAGGAUGGGGAUGCGUUCCAUUAGGCAGUUGGCGGGGUAACGGCCCACCAAACCUUCGAUGGAUAGGGGUUCUGAGAGGAAGGUCCCCCACAUUGGAACUGAGACACGGUCCAAACUCCUACGGGAGGCAGCAGUGAGGAAUAUUGGUCAAUGGGCGCGAGCCUGAACCAGCCAAGUAGCGUGAAGGAUGACCGCCCUAUGGGUUGUAAACUUCUUUUAUAUGGGAAUAAAGUCUGCCACGUGUGGCAUUUUGUAUGUACCAUAUGAAUAAGGAUCGGCUAACUCCGUGCCAGCAGCCGCGGUAAUACGGAGGAUCCGAGCGUUAUCCGGAUUUAUUGGGUUUAAAGGGAGCGUAGGUGGACAUGUAAGUCAGUUGUGAAAGUUUGCGGCUCAACCGUAAAAUUGCAGUUGAUACUGCGUGUCUUGAGUACAGUAGAGGUGGGCGGAAUUCGUGGUGUAGCGGUGAAAUGCUUAGAUAUCACGAAGAACUCCGAUUGCGAAGGCAGCUCACUGGACUGCAACUGACACUGAUGCUCGAAAGUGUGGGUAUCAAACAGGAUUAGAUACCCUGGUAGUCCACACAGUAAACGAUGAAUACUCGCUGUUUGCGAUAUACAGUAAGCGGCCAAGCGAAAGCAUUAAGUAUUCCACCUGGGGAGUACGCCGGCAACGGUGAAACUCAAAGGAAUUGACGGGGGCCCGCACAAGCGGUGGAGCAUGUGGUUUAAUUCGAAGCAACGCGAAGAACCUUACCAGGUCUUGACAUCCAACUAACGAAGUAGAGAUACAUUAGGUGCCCUUCGGGGAAAGUUGAGACAGGUGGUGCAUGGUUGUCGUCAGCUCGUGUCGUGAGAUGUUGGGUUAAGUCCCGCAACGAGCGCAACCCUUAUCUUCAGUUACUAACAGGUCAUGCUGAGGACUCUGGAGAGACUGCCGUCGUAAGAUGUGAGGAAGGUGGGGAUGACGUCAAAUCAGCACGGCCCUUACGUCCGGGGCUACACACGUGUUACAAUGGGGGGUACAGAAGGCCGCUACACAGCGAUGUGAUGCCAAUCCCUAAAGCCCCUCUCAGUUCGGAUCGAAGUCUGCAACCCGACUUCGUGAAGCUGGAUUCGCUAGUAAUCGCGCAUCAGCCACGGCGCGGUGAAUACGUUCCCGGGCCUUGUACACACCGCCCGUCAAGCCAUGGGAGCCGGGGGUACCUGAAGUACGUAACCGCAAGGAGCGUCCUAGGGUAAAACUGGUGACUGGGGCU
rnacentral:rRNA from 1 species